rnacentral:rRNA from 1 species
GAUGAACGCUGGCGGCGUGCCUAAUACAUGCAAGUCGAGCGAACAGACGAGGAGCUUGCUCCUCUGACGUUAGCGGCGGACGGGUGAGUAACACGUGGAUAACCUACCUAUAAGACUGGGAUAACUUCGGGAAACCGGAGCUAAUACCGGAUAAUAUAUUGAACCGCAUGGUUGAAUAGUGAAAGACGGUUUUGCUGUCACUUAUAGAUGGAUCCGCGCCGCAGUAGCUAGUUGGUAAGGUAACGGCUUACCAAGGCAACGAUGCUUAGCCGACCUGAGAGGGUGAACGGCCACACGGGAACUGAGACACGGUCCAGACUCCUACGGGGGGCAGCAGUAGGGAAUCUUCCGCAAAGGGCGAAAGCUUGACGGAGCAACGCCGAGUGAGUGAUGAAGGUCUUCGGAUCGUAAAACUCUGUUAUUAGGGAAGAACAAAUGUGUAAGUAACUAUGCACGUCUUGACGGUACCUAAUCAGAAAGCCACGGCUAACUACGUG